rnacentral:pre_miRNA from 1 species
AUGCACCAGGUCGAGGGUACGUCAGUUACUGACUGGUUUGAGGUUAUGCGACCUUUUUCGCAUAACCUCAAACCAGCCAGUAACUGACGUACCCUCGACCUGGUGCAUUUUU